rnacentral:rRNA from 1 species
UUGUUCGGAAUUACUGGGCGUAAAGCGCACGUAGGCGGCUUUGUAAGUUAGAGGUGAAAGCCCGGAGCUCAACUCCGGAAUAGCCUUUAAGACUGCAUCGCUAGAACGUUGGAGAGGUAAGUGGAAUUCCGAGUGUAGAGGUGAAAUUCGUAGAUAUUCGGAAGAACACCAGUGGCGAAGGCGACUGACUGGACAACUGUUGACGCUGAGGUGCGAAAGCGUGGGGAGCAAACAGG